UGGGUAGAGUAAUGCUCCACAAGAACAUCUUUCCAGUGGGCCCUGUGUCUUAAUGGGGAUGCAGGUUCCGGUGUCCUUGAGGUCGGUGCCUUGAACCCGGGAAGGUCCUGGCAUCCACUGUGUUGGGCCUCAGGCAGCAACGAGAUAAUUUCAGUGGUUGGUUCCUAAUGGGGUGAAGUCCUGGAGUUUAUAGAAGAUGAACACACUUCUUCGUAGGAGAAGAGAACAGAGGAAAUAUUUUACUCACUCUGUCCUUAGUCAUGUAUGGAGAUGGGGAGCAAGUAAUUAGGGGAUCCCCAUAGAGAGAGGAAGGUCUGUUGGAUUGCUUCGUGUCUGUAUUAUCUUGAGUAAAAUCCUCAUGACGUGUGGGGAGACCAGAAUGUUGCAUUUGUGAGUGACCGUUGUAUUGGAAACGUGCUCCACAUUGAGGCAAAGCUGUGGUCAGAGCCUUUUGUAAGAAAAGUACCAACCAGUUAUCCUUGGUGAAACCCAUGGCUUUGUGAGUAUCGGCUGCUCAAGAGAAAUACUGGUGGUGUCCUCGGUCCGGGAAGCUGGGUCGAGGUGCAUGUGGUAUUGAGCUUACUGCCUCGAACUCUUGUUAGUCCUGGCAGGCACUUCUGCCUUCGGCGUCAUCAGAAUGAUUCCACUUGUCUAUUCUAACGAUGCAAGAGCCUAAGUUUCUACAAGGUAAGCAAUAGUUGACAUUUGAAGCAGAGGGGGGAAAACACAGCGAUAGGGUUGGUGUUUGUGUCCUCAUCAUCGUCCAGGUAAUCCCAGAGAAGGUAAGGGAUUCCUUCGUGAAGAAAGAUGCACGUUAGAGGGCAAUCGGUUAGAAUCGUCCAGCAUUAAGGGAAAAUGGUGGGUACAGUGUUAAUGUUGUGGCUGGGGUAGGGCAAAAGCUUCGCAUGAGAGUGAACAGGGCCCUGCACAGGAUCUGUUUGAGCCAUGAUGUGUGCAGUGCCCUGCUCAGGAUGGCGCUGAUUACAUACUCUAGGAGUGAUUAGCAUCUGCCUGGGCCGAGUGAUGCUCACUAAGAACCACCGUUUGUGUUGCCCCAGCCACCCCUGCUCCAUGGGAAUGGGGGUGCAUUUGUCUUCAAGGUGCCUGUCUUGAACCCAGGAAGGGAGGGCUUGGUCAGUCACUUGUGUCUUUGGCAUCCUCAUGAUGGCCUCAGGGGUCUGUCUGUUCCUUACAAUGCGAAUUGGCACAGAUGGGGGAGAUGAGGAGGAUAAUCCCUAAUAGAUGGAGGGAAUACAGAGACAACCUUGAUUUCUCUGUCCUCAUGGUCAUGUCUACAGAGGAGCAGUUGAGCGUGCCUCACCGCAAGAAUUAUGUACGUGUAGCCACUGGGUCUGCAUUGUUUUAAGGCAUGAGAACAUCGUUUUUGUAUAGUCCUCAUGACGUAGAGGGGGUGAGAUGAAAUCUGUGUAUCAGAGUGAGUGCGAGUGGCUAAUGCAUAGGUCUCAAAGUAUGGUAUGUGUCGUGCCCUACGUCAAGAGGUGCUCAUGAGGUAAUUUAAGUGUUCGCCAUACCAGGGUGAGAAGAGAAAUGCUCACCAAGAGGAAGGCUUUUGAUGGCUUUCAGGUCGGUGAAGGGGCCAGAGGUGUGUGUGUUCUUGAAAAUUCUUCCUUGAACCCCGGAAUGGCUCUGGUAGGGCCAGCCGGUUUUGAUGACGAGCAUAAGAUGAUUCAGUGUUCCAUUCUUUUUUGUUUUUUUCUUUUUUGUUUAGGAUCUUACUUAUUUACUUGACAGAGAGAGACACAAGCAGGUUGAGCAGCAGCCAGAGGGCAUAGAGAGAAAGAGGCCCCCUGCUCAGCAGGGAACCCGAAGGGGGGUUCGAUCCCAGGGCCCCAGGACCAUGACCUGAGCCAAAGGCAGACACUUAAUGGACUGAGCCAUCCUGGUGCCCUCUGUGUUCCAUUCCUAAUAACUUUAACACCUUAGGUUUAGAGAAGAAUGUGCAAAAUAAGUUAUUUUCUCUGGGUCCUCCUAAUCUAUCAGGUAAUCCUAGAGGAAACAAGGGAUCCUCACUAAAGCCCAGCUACGACAAAAGGCCGGCCAGUCGCUCAGUGUGUAAGAUGCUGAUCAUUCAUGUCUUGGGUGGUUGUGACUUCUGGAGCGAUCGUCGUUUGCAGCGACUUGCAGCUAGCGAUAGAAGAGCUGCCGCAGUUCUUGCACUCCAUUCCUGGACUUAGGGUGUCCUACUUCCCCAGUCAGUCUCACCUCGGAUUUUUAUUGGCAGUGGCGCUUUUCUCAUUAUGAACACCAGGUUGUUUGAGAUUAUGCAGAAAAUGUUUUUUGGGGGUCUUCAAAAUCAUCCAGGCGGAUUCUAUGUGGAUCACCAUUGAUGAAGAUUUGCAUAUCUGUGCAUUAUGUGGGCAUUCUGUCCCGUUCUGUGAAAGCACUGGUCACAGUCCAUGUGAUUUUUGGGUUCAGAUAUGAACAGUAGCUCCCUGGGUCUGAUGGCAAGAAUUUUCAGGAUGAGUUGAAUGGCAUAGUUCUUUGUUUUAAAAUUUUAUUUAUUUAUUCACGAGAGACUGAGAGAGACAGACACCUAGACAGAGGGAGAAGCAGCUCUUAUCAGGGGGCCUGUGUGGGACUUGAUCUUUGCACCCCAGGAUUACACCCUGAGCCACAGGCAGACACUCAACCUCUGACCCUCCCAGACAUCCCACAAUGGUAUAUUUCUAACAGUUGAAACAAAUAAGUGUAAAAGACGAGGAAGAGGUUUUUUUUUUUUUAAUUUUAAGCAUAUAGACAAACCGGUAAUAAUCGUUUUCAUUCUGUAUCCUCAUAAAUAUCCAGGUAAAUGUAUCAUAAGUGAAUAUAUCCCCACUGAGUGGAGGUUUGAGAGUUGGAGGGCAACAUGUUGGCAUCCCCUAGGGUUGUGGAAAAAACCUGAGUACAGUCACCAUGAUGUAGUGAGGAGAUAGAGUAAAGGUACGUUUCACAUGUGUGGGAGACUGGGCAGGCCCUAUAUGUUGAAGCCAUGUUAUGUGCAGUGCUCUGUCCAGACAUCAUGUGAUCACAUAGACUGUGUGAUCGGUACCUAUCUCUGUGGGGUAAAUUGAAACAGGAACAUUUAUGGUGGCCUUCAGACCAUUGAUGAAGCUUUCAUUGUAUUAUUUUCUAGCUACCCCACCCUCAGGAGGCCUUUAGCAGGCACCCCAAUCUUCUGCUGCAUCUUCAAGGUGAUAUCAGGGUUUCACUCCUAUGUGAAAACCUGUGAGGGAGAGAAGAUGUGGACACUUCUUGUCAGAAGAAGAGAACAGAGGAACGAUGUUGUCUGUGUCCUCAGAAUCAUCCAGUUGAUUCUAGAAUGAUGGUCAUGUCAUCUGUGUCAUGGAUCCAUUGUAAUGUUAAAACCAAGCCACAGGCUGAAUGUCAUCAGUAAGUGGAACGAGAACCAUCCUGCUACCCUUGCGACAUUACAGCUGAAUGACUGCAUUUCACUCGGACACUGGAUGAGGUUCUGUUUUCCUCACACCAGCCUGCCAUUGGCUUGCACGUGGAAAAAGAAUAUGAUUCACAGAACUCCAACAUGUGGUUGGCCUAGGCACAUCUUCCUGCCAUGCCAGCCACAGGUGCUGUUGUGAAAGGCAGAAAGAAGGAAGACUCUUGCCAUUCAACCCUCUGUCUUCCAGGAGGCUCUUCUGAUGAAUGAAACCUGGGCCCAUUGGAAGUGAUUCUUGUGGUCACAGCUUAGAUGACAGAGGUACAUUUGAGUCUGGAAACGUUAACUCAUCAAUCAUAACCAUCCUGUGAGGACAAAUAUGACCACUGUCACCUCAUUGCAGAUGAAGAAACUGAGGCCCAUAGAGAUUAAGUGACUUGCCCAAGAUCACACAGUUGACAUGGAUGCUAAAUCCUAGGGCUUCUUGUUUUUUUGGUGAAUGGUCCUGUCCUCAGACCCUCCUCAGUCAGCAAAUCAGAAAGAAUCAGUGUGCUUAAAGACCAAAACAAAGUAGAACUCAAGAAAAUAUAAAGUCUUACACAGGAAAAUGUUUGUUUCCUGAUCAGGGAUCAAGAUUUGGGAAAGAUUUGGGAAAGAUUUCUC